rnacentral:rRNA from 1 species
UGGCGGCAGGCCUAACACAUGCAAGUCGAGCGGUAACAUUUCUAGCUUGCUAGAAGAUGACGAGCGGCGGACGGGUGAGUAACGCGUAGAAAUCUACCUAGUAGUGGGGGAUAGCCCAGAGAAAUUUGGAUUAAUACCGCAUACGCCCUACGGGGGAAAGCCGGGGGAUCUUCGGACCUCGUGCUAUUAGAUGAGUCUGCGUCGGAUUAGCUUGUUGGUGAGGUAAUGGCUCACCAAGGCGACGAUCCGUAGCUGGUCUGAGAGGAUGACCAGCCACACUGGAACUGAGACACGGUCCAGACUCCUACGGGAGGCAGCAGUGGGGAAUAUUGCACAAUGGGCGCAAGCCUGAUGCAGCUAUGCCGCGUGUGUGAAGAAGGCCUUAGGGUUGUAAAGCACUUUCAGCAGUGAGGAAAGGGGUGUCGUUAAUAGCGCCAUCCUGUGACGUUAACUGCAGAAGAAGGACCGGCUAACUCCGUG